rnacentral:rRNA from 1 species
UCGAGAAUCUUCGGCAAUGAGCGCAAGCUUGACCGAGCGACGCCGCGUGCGGGAUGAAGGCCUUCGGGUUGUAAACCGCUUUCAGUGGGGAGGAAAUCGCUAGGGGUUCUCCCCUAGUGUUGACCUAUCUUCAGAAGAAGGACGGGCUAAGUUCGUGCCAGCAGCCGCGGUAAUACGAACCGUCCAAACGUUAUUCGGAUUUAUUGGGCUUAAAGGGUACGUAGGCGGCGCUAUCAGUCGGGUGUGAAAUCCCUCGGCUCAACCGAGGAACUGCGCCCGAUACUGUAGUGCUUGAGGGAGACAGAGGUAAGCGGAACUGAUGGUGGAGCGGUGAAAUGCGUUGAUAUCAUCAGGAACACCGGUGGCGAAAGCGGCUUACUGGGUCUCUUCUGACGCUGAGGUACGAAAGCUAGGGGAGCGAACGG